rnacentral:rRNA from 1 species
GUAGGUGGCAAGCGUUGUCCGGAAUUAUUGGGGCGUAAAGCGCGCGCAGGCGGUUCUUUAAGUCUGAUGUGAAAGCCCACGGGCUCAACCGUGGAGGGUCAUUGGAAACUGGAGAACUUGAGUACAGAAGAGGAAAGCGGAAUUCCACGUGUAGCGGUGAAAUGCGUAGAGAUGUGGAGGAACACCAGUGGCGAAGGCGGCUUUCUGGUCUGUAACUGACGCUGAGGCGCGAAAGCGUGGGGAGCAGACAGGAUUAGAUACCCUGGUAGUCCACGCCGUAAACGAUGAGUGCUAAGUGUUAGGGGGUUUCCGCCCCUUAGUGCUGCAGCUAACGCAUUAAGCACUCCGCCUGGGGAGUACGGCCGCAAGGCUG